rnacentral:rRNA from 1 species
UACGUAGGGGGCAAGCGUUGUCCGGAUUUAUUGGGCGUAAAGAGCGUGUAGGCGGCCUGACAAGUCUGCUGUGAAAACUCGAGGCUCAACCUCGAGAUGUCGGCGGAAACUGUCUGGCUAGAGUCCGGAAGAGGAGAGUGGAAUUCCUGGUGUAGCGGUGAAAUGCGCAGAUAUCAGGAGGAACACCGAUGGCGAAGGCAGGUCUCUGGGCAUUAACUGACGCUGAGGAGCGAAAAGCAUGGGGAGCGAACAGG